UUGGAGGGCAAGUCUGGUGCCAGCAGCCGCGGUAAUUCCAGCUCCAAUAGCGUAUAUUAAAGUUGUUGCAGUUAAAAAGCUCGUAGUUGAAUUUCGGGAUUGACGUGACGGUCGUGCCUUAAGGGGUAUGAACUGUCGCUGUUGAUUUCUCACCUUCUGGAGAAUCUCGAUGCCCUUUAUUGGGUGUCUUGUGGAUCCAGGACCUUUACCUUGAAAAAAUUAGAGUGUUUAAGGCAGGCAUUUUUGCCCGAAUACAUUAGCAUGGAAUAAUAGAAUAGGACGGCUUGGUUCUAUUUUGUUGGUUUCUAGGAUCACCGUAAUGAUUAAUAGGGAUAGUUGGGGGCAUUAGUAUUCAAUUGUCAGAGGUGAAAUUCUUGGAUUUAUUGAAGACUAACUACUGCGAAAGCAUUUGCCAAGGAUGUUUUCAUUAAUCAAGAACGAAAGUUAGGGGAUCGAAGACGAUCAGAUACCGUCGUAGUCUUAACCAUAAACUAUGCCGACUAGGAAUCAGACGAUGUUAAUUUUUUAAUGACUCGUUUGGCACCUUAUGGGAAACCAAAG
rnacentral:rRNA from 1 species